UGCCCGAUGGUGUAACGGUAGCACGAAAGAUUCUGAUUCUUUUAGUCAAGGUUCGAAUCCUUGUCGGGCAU
rnacentral:tRNA from 1 species